UGGGGAAUAUUGCACAAUGGGGGAAACCCUGAUGCAGCGACGCCGCGUGAGCGAAGAAGGUUUUCGAAUCGUAAAGCUCUGUCCUAUGAGAAGAUAAUGACGGUAUCAUAGGAGGAAGCCACGGCUAACUACGUGCCAGCAGCCGCGGUAAUACGUAGGUGGCAAGCGUUGUCCGGAAUUAUUGGGCGUAAAGCGCGCGCAGGUGGUUUAGAAAGUCUGAUGUGAAAGCCCACGGCUCAACCGUGGAGGGUCAUUGGAAACUAAUAAACUUGAGUGCAGGAGAGAAAAGUGGAAUUCCUAGUGUAGCGGUGAAAUGCGUAGAGAUUAGGAGGAACACCGGUGGCGAAAGCGGCUUUUUGGCCUGCAACUGACACUGAGGCGCGAAAGCGUGGGGAGCAAACAGG
rnacentral:rRNA from 1 species